rnacentral:lncRNA from 1 species
CUUGACUCUGCAGUCCCCAGGGCAGUCUGAGUCCCCAGUGCCUGGCGUGGGUGAGCUCAGGGCUGCUCCGUAUGGGGGCAUCCAGGCCUGGCUGCUGAUGCCCUGUGGCUGAGGACACCUCCAUCUGCAUGAGCCAGUUUGGAAGUCCAGCUUGCCCCCCAGGCAGUGGAGGCCAGUAAGGGCUUCUCCCCAGAUUGACCACUCAGAUCAAAUUGAUCCAGGUGUUGAGACAGAAUUGGCCCCAUUUUCUGCUAAUUUCCAUUCUCUGAUUGUGCUGCCUGCUACAGGAGUCAUUUUGGAUUUGGGCUGACCUGGUAGACUUCUGAAAGACAGUGCUCUGGGUUCAAGUUGUCCUCAGGGCUGGAUGAUCCAUAGCAAAUAUCCCCUGAUGGAUAAGCAUUGUGCUGAGAGACUUGCCUCCAUCAGCUGUGUAAACCUCAGGAUGACCUGCACACAGGUAUACUAAGGCACACAGAGACCAGCUCGUAGUCAGUGACAAGUAACUUGCCAAGAGCUGUGGUUUAAAAGCAUGUCUGCAAAUUCUUGGACACUCUUGUCAUCCAGAAAUAGAGUCUAACCCUCCUCCCUUGAAUACGGGCUGGCUUCAGUGGUGGAAAUGACAAUGUGUGAGUUUGAGGUUUGAUUAGAAAAGAUGACACAGCCUCUGCCUGACUCUCAAGGCCCUUGUUCUUGGACAUUAGCUGCCAUGCUGGGAGGAAGCCCAGCAGCCACACAGAGAGGCCACGACAGCCGAGGUCCCAGCCCUGCCCAACACGUCAAUGAGUGAUCCUGCAGAGCCUCCCAUCUCCUAGCCACCGCAGCUGAUGCUCUGAGAGCGGAGGCAAGCUGUCCUUGCUGGGCGCUGCUUAAACUGCAGAUGUAUGAACAAAAU